rfam:Gossypium raimondii Chr06_contig_386, whole genome shotgun sequence.
GGGUGUGAUCGUACCCGCACUAAUGCGCCAGAUCCCAUCAGAACUCCGCAGUUAAGCGCUUAUGGGCGAGAGCCGUACUAGGAUGGGCAACUUGUUAGAAAGUCCUCGUGUUGCACCCC